CACGUAGGGCGCGAGCGUUGUCCGGAAUUAUUGGGCGUAAAGAGCUCGUAGGCGGCCUGUUGCGUCCGCUGUGAAAGCCCGGGGCUUAACCCCGGGUCUGCAGUGGAUACGGGCAGGCUAGAGGUAGGUAGGGGAGAAUGGAAUUCCUGGUGUAGCGGUGAAAUGCGCAGAUAUCAGGAGGAACACCGAUGGCGAAGGCAGGUCUCUGGGCCGAUACUGACGCUGAGGAGCGAAAGCGUGGGGAGCGAACAGG
rnacentral:rRNA from 1 species